rnacentral:rRNA from 1 species
CUGGUAGCGUGGAUUAGGCAUGCAAGUCGAACGGGAUCCACAAGGUAGCAAUACUGCGUGGUGAGAGUGGCGGAUUGGGGAGGAACGCGUGAGCAACCUGCCCUGGAGAUGGGGAAAACCGUUGGAAACGACGGCUAAUACCGAAUGUGGCGUUCUGCGGCAUCGCAGGGACGCUGAAGGGGGCGCCGCAAGGGCUCCCGCUCCGGGAUGGGCUCGCGAACCAUCAGCUAGUUGGCGGGGUAGAGGCCCACCAAGGCUUACGGUUAGCUGGUCUGAGAGGAUGACCAGCCCCACUGGGACUGAGAUACUGCCCAGACUCCUACGGGAGGCUGCAGUCGAGGAUCAUUCGCAAUGGACGAAAGUCUGACGAUGCGACGCUGCGUGGAGGAUGAAGGCCUUCGGGUUGUAAACUCCUGUCAUAAGGGAAAAGGCUUUUAGGUGCUAAUACCAUCUAAAGUUGAUUGUACUUUAAGAGGAAGGGACGGCUAACUCUGUGCCAGCAGCCGCGGUAAUACAGAGGUCCCUAGCGUUGUUCGGAUUUACUGGGCGUAAAGGGUACG